rnacentral:rRNA from 1 species
GGGUGCGUAACCCGUAUGCAACCUACCUUUAACAGGGGGAUAGCCCGAAGAAAUUCGGAUUAAUACCUCAUAAAAUAAAUAAGUGGCAUACACUUUGUUUAUUAAAGCUCCGGCGGUUAAAGAUGGGCAUGCGUGACAUUAGCUAGUUGGUAAGGUAACGGCUUACCAAGGCUACGAUGUCUAGGGGUUCUGAGAGGAUGAUCCCCCACACUGGUACUGAGACACGGACCAGACUCCUACGGGAGGCAGCAGUAAGGAAUAUUGGUCAAUGGGCGCAAGCCUGAACCAGCCAUGCCGCGUGCAGGAAGACGGCCUUAUGGGUUGUAAACUGCUUUUAUAUAGGAAUAACCUCCCGAACGUGUUCGGGACUGAAGGUACUAUACGAAUAAGGACCGGCUAACUCCGUGCCAGCAGCCGCGGUAAUACGGAGGGUCCAAGCGUUAUCCGGAUUUAUUGGGUUUAAAGGGUGCGCAGGCGGACCUAUCAGUCAGUGGUGAAAUCCCGGGGCUCAACUCCGGAACUGCCAUUGAUACUGUAGGUCUUGAGUUUGGUUGAAGUGGGCGGAAUGUAGCAUGUAGCGGUGAAAUGCAUAGAUAUGCUACAGAACACCGAUCGCGAAGGCAGCUCACUAAGCCAAUACUGACGCUCAGGCACGAAAGCGUGGGUAGCGAACAGGAUUAAAUACCCUGGUAGUCACGCCGUAAACGAUGAUCGGA